CCUGGCCUUGACAUACUAAGAACUUUCCAGAGAUGGAUUGGUGCCUUCGGGAACUUAGAUACGGGUGCUGCAUGGCUGUCGUCAGCUCGUGUCGUGAGAUGUUGGGUUAAGUCCGCAACGAGCGCAACCCUUUUCCUUAUUUGCCAGCGGGUAAUGCCGGGAACUUUAAGGAUACUGCCAGUGACAAACUGGAGGAAGGCGGGGACGACGUCAAGUCAUCAUGGCCCUUACGGCCAGGGCUACACACGUGCUACAAUGGUCGGUACAAAGGGUUGCUACCUCGCGAGAGGAUGCUAAUCUCAAAAAGCCGAUCGUAGUCCGGAUCGCAGUCUGCAACUCGACUGCGUGAAGUCGGAAUCGCUAGUAAUCGCGGAUCAGAAUGCCGCGGUGAAUACGUUCCCGGGCCUUGUACACACCGCCCGUCACACCAUGGGAGUUUGUUGCACCAGAAGUAGGUAGUCUAACCGCAAGGAGGACGCUUACCACGGUGUGGCCGAUGACUGGGGUGAAGUCGUAACAAGGUAGGCGUAGAUGA
rnacentral:rRNA from 1 species